GCGCCCCUACGGGGGGCAGCAGUAGGGAAUCUUCCACAAUGGACGAAAGUCUGAUGGAGCAACACCGCGUGAGUGAAGAAGGGUUUCGGCUCGUAAAGCUCUGUUGGUAGUGAAGAAAGAUAGAGGUAGUAACUGGCCUUUAUUUUACGGUAAUUACUUAGAAAGUCACGGCUAACUACGUACCAGCAGCCGCGGUAAUACGUAGGUGGCAAGCGUUGUCCGGAUUUAUUGGGCGUAAAGCGAGUGCAGGCGGUUCAAUAAGUCU
rnacentral:rRNA from 1 species